rnacentral:lncRNA from 1 species
UGGGUUUAUGGUUUAUAUUUGGGUUUAUGGUGUAUAUUUGGGUUUAGGGUUUUGUGAUUUUGAUUUAGGGUUUAGUAUUCAGAAGGUGGAGGUUGAAGUUGGGGUUAGCAUUAACUUAUUCCAUGCAAUCAUAUACAUUUCAUAUAUUCACCAAUAUGUAAUAUGCUAUUUUUUGUUCCAUUAUAUAUGGGUUUAAGAUUUAUAUUUGGGUCUAGGGUUUAGUGAUUAGGGUUUAGGUUUAGGAUUUAGUGAUUAAGUUUUAGGGCUUCUUAUUUAGGCGUUGGAGGUGGGUUGGGAUAAGGUUUAUUAUUUAGGUGUUGAGAAGGGGUUGGUGUCAUAUACUAUUUUUGUGAUAUGGAAUAGAACAUUUAUAUAACAUUGUAAAUCAUUUAUAAUUAUUUAUUAGAACAUUUGGGUUGUAAAUAAUUUUUAAUAAUAUAAUGGAUUUAUAAGAUUUUGUAUAAAUUAUAUUACAUAUAACUUAAUACUUAUAUAUAUGAAUUUUUUAAAAUUUAAAACAGUUAUAAUAGUUUAUAAAUCAUCUUUAAGAUUCUAAAAUUAUUUAUUAAAUUAUAAAUAUAUUUGUAAUGUAUAAUAAAGCAUCUAUACAUAAUGUAAAAAUAUAUUAGAUUAUCGAAUAUAAAUUUUUGUCUUCUCAAUCUACCAAUUGUGUGGGUCAAAAUAAUUUUAUGUUUGUUGAGAGUGCUAAUGCCCACCUUGCAGUUCCUUCCGUCACCAGAUUGUGAAUGUGAGUCUGUGACUGCUUGAUAUUUUCUAUGACUAUGAAACUAUUAAAUUUUAGUUUGAGUAUCGUAGAAGAUUGUAUCAUUUUUUCGCAUUUUAAAGCUUUUCAUUUUUGCUGACAAAAAAAAAGCUUUUCAUUCUUCAACAUCUUUAGAUUUUUUUACAAUGAUAUCUUUUUGGGUUAAUUUGUGAUAUACACAUUAUGAGAUGAAAAAUAAAGGAAGUAACCAUGUAAAGAUUUUAUCGAGAACCGUGACAAUUUGACAGAAAAUAUGACAAAACACUCCUUCUCGCGCGUGAUCAUGUAUUUAAUUCAUUGGUGACAUAUUAUACUAUACUAUAUUAUUCUUAUAGAUAAAUAGUAUAGGAAAAUUGAUUCCAUAUUAUUACCAACAUAGUAAAAAUGUUUGACAAUGCUGAUUUCAGCUAUAUAAGGGAUGAGGAAAGAGGAGGGGGCGAGAAAGAAGGAAGAAAGAUGAGGGAGGAAGGAGGAGAGAAGAGAGAGAAUGUACGAAGAAGGAGGAGCGAUGAAGAGGGAUGAGGAAGUAGGAUAAGAAGGAAGAGUACGAAGAAAAAGUAUAAGAAAAAAGAAGGAAAAAGAAGAGAGGAAGGAUGCGGAAGGAAGAUAAAGAAAAAGAGGGGAAAGGGAAUGUUGUUGUUAGUACAUGAGAAAGAACUAGAAGAGGAAGAGGCCGGUAGUGAAGGUGAUACGAUAACAACAAACAUAAUACAUAAGAUGUGAUGUUGUUGUUUUUAAAGGCAGAGUAAGAGGCUUUUGUUGAUGCCAAUGUCACUAAUGGGAUAAUAGCAAAAUUA